UACAGAGGUGGCAAGCGUUGUUCGGAAUUAUUGGGCGUAAAGAGCUCGUAGGCGGUUUGUCACGUCUGCUGUGAAAUCCCGAGGCUCAACCUCGGGCCUGCAGUGGGUACGGGCAGACUGGAGUGCGGUAGGGGAGAAUGGAAUUCCUGGUGUAGCGGUGAAAUGCGCAGAUAUCAGGAGGAACACCGGUGGCGAAGGCGGGUCUCUGGGCCGAUACUGACGCUGAGGAGCGAAAGCGUGGGGAGCGAACAGG
rnacentral:rRNA from 1 species